UGCCUGCAUUUGUGAAGUCUUAACUCAUGAGCUACGGCUCUCAUGCAGCCCAUCAGUCAGUACACCAGAAUCGCUCACUGCAUCAGCAUGUGUACCCUCGUGCAGAUGCGUGGGGCUGUUGGGACAAUGCAAACCACAGAAAGGAAUGCAGAUGUCUCACUGCUCAUCCCAACAGAGUCGCCAGGGUUUAACCGCAAGAAAAGAGGGGAAAGUUUCUAAGAUUUCAUUCAGUUUGGGGCAGCAGAUCGAUGCACGAGGGUCAUGCAUUAUUUCAGUUGAAGAACUGUUGACAAGUAUUGCUCUUGGGGCUGGAUCCAAGACACUCACCUACCUACAUAGCUACAGGCAAGGAACGUUUUUCCUUUAUCAGAACUUGCAAAAAAAUCUGAUUCUGAGAAUCCUCUGCUGCAGCAAAACAUCACCUCCUGACUUCUCACCUUCAAAAGUCUCUGGUUUUCACCCAGUCUUGUGCAAUGCAAACAGCAGUCUGGUUUCAGUGUAAUUCUUCCCAGUGCUCCUGCCGGAGAGGUUUAGUAGCAGCCAUGAGACUGAAUCAAUAUUUGCAACAAUUACAUGGAACUUUACCUUCAAGCCUUCUGAGUUCAGCUUUUCAAAUUGGCAGAAAUAAUUCUGCACCAUUUCCUUGCUAUUUUCAGCAGCAAACCUGAACAAACAGCCCAGGCAUGUGGGCAGGUGAUCCUGCCCCAGCAAAUCUGACUCAGGGUUUGCAUGGAGCCACAUUGUGAAAAGUAGUGAAAGUGUUCUGAGCAGCUGAAACACAAGCAUUGUUUGUGUCCUGUACUCUGAACAGCAAUAAUGCAGCUCCCAUGCAGCUAAUUUAUUGUCCUUAAAAAACCUUAUUGUUCAUGAGUGUUUAAAGAGCCUCCUGUAUGGCAAUUCCUCCUUCAUCUGACAGGUUAUUGAUCCAGCUGCUCUGCCAGUUCCUGUACCAGUAUAGUUACUACCACAAUUACUGUUAGAGCAGUAAAACUCCCUGAAUGGACCAUUGAGCCAUGCAAGGUGGAAACAAAGAGCCAUGACUGCUCACUCCAGCAAGCAUGUCAUCAUUCUUUUAGGAAGCAAAGAGCUUUGAAUGUUUAUGGAGCUGCAAACUGGAUUUUCAAAACAGGAUGCUAAGAACAACAGCAGAAAAGGAAAGAUAAAGCAGGAAAGGAAAAGAACUCAUUUUUUUCAGGCUCACAUCGGAAGCUCUCCAAACUACAGAAGUUGCAUUCUGCUCCUGCCUCCUGCAGAACUAGCUGUGAGCUCUGCACGUUUCUCCUCCCUCUCUGCUUUCUCUCCUCCUGCCCCUGGUGAGUACCCUCCAAGUCAGUUGGAGAAGCCCAUUUAUAUGCAGAGACAUUCGAGUGAAAGUCCCACUUUACAUCCCAGCACACAGUACUGCCAUCACCUACCUUGCCAAGAAGUGCUGCUGUCACAGACACAGAGAGGGGAAGGGAACAAGAGGGGCUGCAGCUGUCGUGCCAUUAGUUUUCCAUUAACUGCCACGUAGAACAUGUGAUGCAUUCCUAUACCCCUCUUCCUGUCAAAGGUAUUAAAAUGCCCAGUGCCACCUGACUGGAAAUGUGAAAGGCAGUGGUGGAAAAGCAAGUCACAUUGAGCAACCAAGAAACAAAGAGGCAGCUGGCAUCUCAUGGCGGUGUCAUUUGUAAGGCACCAUUGAGAGUAAAUGAGCACAAGGGAGGCCAUGACCCUGAGCACUGAAGUACUUCUUUUUAAGCAGUCGAGUAACUCUGCUAAAUGUGUUGGAGAGCAGGUUUUUGACCAACUCUUUUCUGUGUCUAAUAUUCCCCGGGUAAAAUACAGAAGCGAUAACAUCAGCUUGCCACUUGUUGCUUGCCAGCUUACAGGCUAAAUGUUUGCAGAGUGUUUUGAGAUAGGAACCUAGGAAGCAGGUCCAAAGGGGACUCCAAGGUUACCAAAUCUCAUAGGCACAUCCACUGCUUAAUACCUUUGAUAAAUUUAGCCAGCUCCAUCCUGAAACCUGUUAAAUUUCUCACCCUUAUUCUUUUGGCUGGCAAACUAUUCCCAAGUGUUACCUUUCUGAGGAUUAGGAACAGAGCUGUUAGUAUGGGCAGCUGAUGAAAGAAGAAGAAAAACUAAUUAAAAAAAGAUUAUCGGGUACAUUAUGAGACAAAAGGAGCAAAUGUACUCUGAACAGUCCAUUUGCUUCCUGCCUGGCUCUGACACAGUCACCCCAUCCUCAGUCACCCUUAAGUCACUGUUUUCCCUCCCUUGCUAUUUCCAGGCAUUAUUCCACCAUUGCCUCUUUCUGUUCUCUCUAAACACUGCUGACCCCCAUCUCCUCCCUAACAAUUUUGAGAAACUCUCCUUCUCACCCCCCCUUAUUCCCACCUGAUUUGAGCAUCAGAAAUCCAGUCUCCUCCUGCAUAAAAGAGGAUGGGAGCUGAGCCAGCGCUAGGAACCAAAGGCAGAAAGGAGCUAACACUGCAGUAACAAACCACAAUUUUUUCUUCUCUUUUCAAUCAUUAUUCCCUAGGAUGAGAAAUUUCUUCUGUUAAACAUUUUAAAAUUGAAGCCACUUCCUGUGCAGUGGUCCCAAUCUGCUGUCACCCUCCUCCGAUGGAGGGAGAAGACGUGGGUUUGGACAUCAUCCAUCAACGACAGAUUCACAGUGCCACAUGACGAAGGGCAAGGCGGGGAGGAAGGAGGGGGGCAGAGAGGUGCAGAGGGCUGUAAGCAGCGUACAGAAAUUUCAUUUUCAGUUGCCUGCUCAAAAACAACCCCAGCUUGCCAUGGCCCAAAGCCAUUUCCUGUUGAGCACGAUGGCUUUGGUUGCUCUGCACUUAUUAGACAAGCAAUCAAAACAACAACAGCAAAAAGCAGCCUUUGAAAAUGAGGCACAUGUUUGCUAACAGCAGCUAUCUAUCUUAGUCUGCAUUUCCCCAUGAAAACGGCUCCCAGUAAUUAGCAGGACUCACUCAUCUCUCGUGGAAGUAAAUAAAAAAGUUAAAUAAACCCCACACUUCCUUCCAUCUCUGGGAACAUCAUCAGAAGGAGUGAAACCUGCAUGAUACACUGGUUGCCAAAGCAGCAACCGGCACCACAAAAAGCCAAUUUGUUCCUCGGAAAAAAGUCAUGAGCAUCCCAGUGGGAAGCAGAGCAGGGUGAGCCUGGAACUGCCACCUCACAGCCAUCCCCUUCCAUCCUGUCCCUGCACAUCUGCUGUCCUGCACACAACGCCUUUACUCCUGUCCGCACCCGAUGAGCUCCAAGCUGGCAGCCAAGAGCGACACUGACGGUGGUGUGGAUCAUUUCCUAGUCAAACAGCUGUGCUUGCAGUGCAGAUUAAUGUUUCAGGAUAACUAACUUCCUCUUCAACUGUGAUUCCUUUGCACCUCUUAGCCUGCUCAUGUGGAAAUGGCUUAGAGCAGGAUUUCAGCGGCGUUCUUCGCAGGGUAUUUGUUCCUAUUGUGGCAUGUGUCCAUGUGAAAGUAAAAGCAUGUUUAGGGUAAUGGAGCAGAAGGACAGAGGGUCAGCAUUACUUUUUAAGCUGCUUUGGGAAUUCCAAAGACACUUGCAAGUGUAAGCUCUGCAGGGAUGUUCUGUGGGCUGCCUCUCAGAGGGAAGCCUGCCAGGAGGGUGGCCCAAUUGCACCUUCCAAUCCUUUUGAUCACCUCCACCCAAACUGCAGUGCACCAAGAGAACUUCCAGCCUGGGAAAGACCCUACAAAACCCAUGAAACUCAUGGCAUUUUUGAUGUGGAGAUGAUAUCAUGGGUGGCCACUCUUCAGCAGCUCCCCCACAAUGAGUGCAGAAGCUGCUGCUGCUACCAACAAGCCCACAUCAACCCUUAAAGUCCUCCUAGCUAAACAGGUGGUGAACAAUAUCAGCUCACCAGGAGAUUUUGUCCCCACCAAGGAACAGCCAGCGGUCUAUCAGGAAAGCACAGCUCAAUAUGUGAUGAGAAUCUGGCUUCAAAUUUGACCUCUUUCAUCCCAAGAGAGUCCUGGUUUAGUUUAACAUCCAAAGGAAGGACAAAAUCACAUAGC